GUGAGGAAUAUUGGACAAUGGGCGCAAGCCUGAUCCAGCCAUGCCGCGUGCAGGAAGACGCAUCUAUGGUGUGUAAACUGCUUUUGUACGGGAAGAAACACUCCCUCGUGAGGGAGCUUGACGGUACCGUAAGAAUAAGGAUCGGCUAACUCCGUGCCAGCAGCCGCGGUAAUACGGAGGAUCCAAGCGUUAUCCGGAAUCAUUGGGUUUAAAGGGUCCGUAGGCGGUUUAAUAAGUCAGUGGCGAAAGCCCAUCGCUCAACGAUGGAACGGCCAUUGAUACUGUUAGACUUGAAUUACAAGGAAGUAACUAGAAUAUGUAGUGUAGCGGUGAAAUGCUUAGAUAUUACAUGGAAUACCAAUUGCGAAGGCAGGUUACUACUUGUGGAUUGACGCUGAUGGACGAAAGCGUGGGGAGCGAACAGGAUUAGAUACCCGGUAGUCC
rnacentral:rRNA from 1 species